rnacentral:miRNA from 1 species
AAGCGAUUUAUUUGUGUAGCUCAUUAUACAUGCAGAUUCCGAUGUUUACGUCAUUGUAUUUUCAUAUAGUAUAUUAUCCUAUAUGAAAAUACAAUGAGGUAAACAUCGGAAUCUGCAUGUAUAAUGAGCUACACAAAUAAAUCGCUU